rnacentral:rRNA from 1 species
UACGAGGGGGGCAAGCGUUGUUCGGAAUUAUUGGGCGUAAAGGGUGCGUAGGCGGUUUGGUAAGUCUUAUGUGAAAUCUACAGGCUCAACUUGUAGUCUGCAUGAGAGACUGCCGGGCUUGAGUAUGGGAGAGGUGAGUGGAAUUCCUGGUGUAGCGGUGAAAUGCGCAGAUAUCAGGAGGAACACCGGUGGCGAAGGCGGGUCUCUGGGCCGAUAUUGACGCUGAGGAGCGAAAGCGUGGGGAGCGAACAGG